rnacentral:sRNA from 12 species
AAAUAUCUAGGCCAUCCAGAAGUGGUGUAAUACACCGACCAUCCUAGUACACGAAAGUGUAGGAUGAUAUCCUGAAAGGUGAGAAACCUUACUUUGUAAAGCUAGGUCUGGAGGAGUUAGAAGGAUAGU